rnacentral:rRNA from 1 species
CCUACGGGUGGCAGCAGUGAGGAAUAUUGGUCAAUGGCCGUAAGGCUGAACCAGCCAAGUAGCGUGAGGGAAGACUGCCCUAUGGGUUGUAAACCUCUUUUAUGCGGGGAUAAAGGUGUCCACGUGUGGAUGUUUGCAUGUACCGCAUGAAUCAGGACCGGCUAAUUCCGGGCCAGCAGCCGCGGUAAUCCGGAGGGUCCGGGCGUUAUCCGGAUUUAUUGGGUUUAAAGGGUGCGUAGGCGGAUUUUUAAGUCAGCGGUAAAAUGUCCGGGCUCAACCCGGGCCGGCCGUUGAAACUGGGGAUCUUGAGUGGGCGAGAAGUAUGCGGAAGGCGUGGUGUAGCGGUGAAAUGCAUAGAUAUCACGCAGAACUCCGAUUGCGAAGGCAGCAUACCGGCGCCCGACUGACGCUGAGGCACGAAAGCGUGGGGAUCGAACAGGAUUAGAUACCCGGGUAGUC